GGAGAAGGAGGACUGAAAGGCACCCAGGCUGGCCUGGAGCCCAGGGUAGUGAAGGAUCACAAGGUCACCCUCUCUUCCAAGCAAUGCUGUCCCACUUUGAACAUCAGGUAGAAACUUCCGUCUUCCUUAAGGUAUGGAGAAAUGGUGGUAAGGUGUUGGGGAGGAGGCCAGUCCUGUGUUUCUGGUACUGUCAUGUAUCCGGUCUCCAACCUCAAAAGAUGUGCUGAUUCUCUCUCUCCCAACCCUCCCUGGGUCCUGCCCACCUCCUGGAGUCCCCAGCUUUGCCUUUGCCUGCCAACCUGCCUCUUGGUUCAGCUCUAUUUGGGAGCAGAGAGUCCCCAUGGGCCCCUAAGGGUGAAGCCCUGUCAGGCUGGGACAGACAUGUAGAGCUGGGGCCAGUUCCCAGGGGAGAACUGGGGAGGGCUGGGGUGAGAGUAGGAAGAGGAGAAGUUAAACUUUAACAUGACAAAAAUAUUAAGGUAUUUUUCAAAGCACUCUUAAAAAUGUAAAUCUUUAUCUAUAUAUUGAUAUGCAAAAUAUUCCAUGACACCUUGUGGAGUGAAUGAAAGUACACAUUACAAAGCAGCAUGUGUAGUGUUUAUAUAAAUUAUAUAUUUGUGCAUGUGUGCAAAAGACAGAGACAGAGUGUAUAAGGAGUGCCGUCUCGGAGGAUGUUCACUGAAAUGUUAAUCCUGUUUGCCUUUAGGGGGUGGAAUUUGGGGUGAUUUAUACAGUCUUGUUUUUACUUUUCUAUGCUGCUUAAAUUUCCUAUAUAAGUAUGUUUCAUCUUUAUACACAGGAAAACUCCCAAAGAUGCUAUUUUCAAUUGGGGGAGGGAACGGAUAGUUUUCAUCAUAAAAGGAGUCUAAUACAUUAGUUAACAUAAAA